CCUACGGGGGGCAGCAGUCAAGAAUCAUUCACAAUGGGGGAAACCCUGAUGGUGCGACGCCGCGUGGGGGAAUGAAGGUCUUCGGAUUGUAAACCCCUGUCAUGUGGGAGCAAAUUAAAAAGAUAGUACCCCAAGAGGAAGAGACGGCUAACUCUGUGCCAGCAGCCGCGGUAAUACAGAGGUCUCAAGCGUUGUUCGGAAUCACUGGGCGUAAAGCGUGCGUAGGCUGUUUCGUAAGUCGUGUGUGAAAGGCGCGGGCUCAACCCGCGGACGGCACAUGAUACUGCGAGACUAGAGUAAUGGAGGGGGAACCGGAAUUCGCGGUGUAGCAGUGAAAUGCGUAGAUAUCGAGAGGAACACUCGUGGCGAAGGCGGGUUCCUGGACAUUAACUGACGCUGAGGCACGAAGGCCAGGGGAGCGAAAGGGAUUAGAUACCCGAGUAGUC
rnacentral:rRNA from 1 species